GCGAGGGUAGCCAAGCGGCCAACGGCGGCGGGCUUAAGACCCGCUCCCGCAGGGGUCCGAGGGUUCGAAUCCCUUCCCUCGCA
rnacentral:tRNA from 1 species